rnacentral:tRNA from 1 species
CAUCAGAUGACUGAAUGUAAGUGCUGGUCUCUUAAACCAUUAUAUAGUAGUUAUACACCUACUUCUGAUGA